GCGUGUGUAGCUCAGUGGUAGAGCAUUUCACUGAUAAUGAAAAGGUCGAAGGUUCGAUUCCUUCCACACGCA
rnacentral:tRNA from 1 species